rnacentral:rRNA from 1 species
UCUUCCCUCUGGCGGCGUGCCUAAUACAUGCAAGUCGAGCGAACAGACGAGGAGCUUGCUCCUCUGACGUUAGCGGCGGACGGGUGAGUAACACGUGGAUAACCUACCUAUAAGACUGGGAUAACUUCGGGAAACCGGAGCUAAUACCGGAUAAUAUAUUGAACCGCAUGGUUCAAUAGUGAAAGACGGUUUUGCUGUCACUUAUAGAUGGAUCCGCGCCGCAUUAGCUAGUUGGUAAGGUAACGGCUUACCAAGGCGACGAUGCGUAGCCGACCUGAGAGGGUGAUCGGCCACACUGGAACUGAGACACGGUCCAGACUCCUACGGGAGGCAGCAGUAGGGAAUCUUCCGCAAUGGGCGAAAGCCUGACGGAGCAACGCCGCGUGAGUGAUGAAGGUCUUCGGAUCGUAAAACUCUGUUAUUAGGGAAGAACAAAUGUGUAAGUAACUAUGCACGUCUUGACGGUACCUAAUCAGAAAGCCACGGCUAACUACGUG